rnacentral:rRNA from 1 species
GCUGAACUUAAGCAUAUCAAUAAGCGGAGGAAAAGAAACCAACAGGGAUUGCCCUAGUAACGGCGAGUGAAGCGGCAAAAGCUCAGAUUUGAAAUCUGGUGUUCUCUUGAGCAUCUGAGUUGUAAUCUGUAGAGAAGGUCUUUUGAUCAGACAUUGGUCCAAGUCCCUUGGAAGAGGGUGUCAUAGAGGGUGAGAACCCCGUGCAUGGCCUUUGCUCUGUGUCAUUAUAAGUCUUUCUUCAACGAGUCGAGUUGUUUGGGAAUGCAGCUCUAAAUGGGUGGUAAAUUCCAUCUAAGGCUAAAUAUUGGCAAGAGACCGAUAGCGCACAAGUAGAGUAAUCGAAAGAUGAAAAGAACUCUGGACAGAGAGUUAAAUAGUACGUGAAAUUGUUGAAAGGGAAGCACUUGCCACCAGACUCAGGUAUGGACAGAUCAGGUUUCGGUUUCCGGAGCUGCACUCUGUCCUGCCGUGGUCAGCAUCAAUUUCUGCGGUGGGAAAAAGGUGAGGGGAAUGUAGCUCCUCUUCGGAGAAGUGUUAUAGCCCCGUGCUACAACUGCCUGCAGAGAUUGAGGAUAGCUCCAUUGGAAUGGAUGCUGACUUAAUGGUUGUAAGUGACCCGUCUUGAAACACGGACCAAGGAGUCUAACAUCUAUGCGAGUAUUUGGGUGAGAAAACCCUCAUGCGCAAUGAAAGUGAAUGCAGGUGGGAUUCCGCAAGGAUGCACCAUCGACCGAUCCUGAUGUUCUCGGAUGGAUUUGAGUAGGAGCAUAGCUGUUGGGACCCGAAAGAUGGUGAACUAUGCCUGAAUAGGGUGAAGCCAGAGGAAACUCUGGUGGAGGCUCGCAGCGGUUCUGACGUGCAAAUCGAUCGUCAAAUUUGGGUAUAGGGGCGAAAGACUAAUCGAACCAUCUA